rnacentral:rRNA from 1 species
AUUGAACGCUGGCGGCAGGCCUAACACAUGCAAGUCGAGCGGAUGAAGGGAGCUUGCUCCUGGAUUCAGCGGCGGACGGGUGAGUAAUGCCUAGGAAUCUGCCUGGUAGUGGGGGAUAACGUCCGGAAACGGGCGCUAAUACCGCAUACGUCCUGAGGGAGAAAGUGGGGGAUCUUCGGACCUCACGCGAUCAGAUGAGCCUAGGUCGGAUUAGCUAGUUGGUGGGGUAAAGGCCUACCAAGGCGACGAUCCGUAACUGGUCUGAGAGGAUGAUCAGUCACACUGGAACUGAGACACGGUCCAGACUCCUACGGGAGGCAGCAGUGGGGAAUAUUGGGCAAUGGGCGAAAGCCUGAUCCAGCCAUGCCGCGUGUGUGAAGAAGGUCUUCGGAUUGUAAAGCACUUUUAGUUGGGAGGAAGGGCAGUAAGUUAAUCCCUUGCUGUUUUGACGUUACCAACAGAAUAAGCACCGGCUAACUUCGUG